GGCGGACGGGUGAGUAACACGUAGGUAACCAACCUUCGAGACGGGGGCAACUCAGGGAAACUUGAGCUAAUACCCGGUAAGACCACGAGUUGAGAGGCUUGUGGUAAAAGGGAGCAAUCCGCUUGGAGACGGGCCUGCGGCCUAUCAGGUAGUUGGUGGGGUAACGGCUUACCAAGCCAAAGACGGGUAGCCGGGCUGAGAGGUUGAACGGCCACACUGGAACUGAGAAACGGUCCAGACUCCUACGGGAGGCAGCAGUGGGGAAUAUUGCACAAUGGGGGAAACCCUGAUGCGGCGACGCCGCGUGGAGGAUGAAGGUCUUCGGGUUGUAAACUCCUUUUCUUGGGAAAGAUGAUGACGGUACCCAAGGAAUAAGCCACGGCUAACUCUGUGCCAGCAGCCGCGGUAAGACAGAGGUGGCGAGCGUUGUUCGGAAUCACUGGGCUUAAAGGGCGAGUAGGCGGUGGAGCAAGUCUGUGGUGGAAUCCUAUGGCUUAACCAUAGAAUUGCCUUAGAAACUGUUUCACUUG
rnacentral:rRNA from 1 species